CUGGAGUAGUUUCUGCAAGUAAACAUGAUGAUUUACACAAGCUCAACAUGUAUUCCCUAUAGUUCACUGGACAUAUCAGGAUAGAUAAAAAUGAAUAACAACAAAAAUAAAAAUAGGCGCCAAAGCAUUUUGUUGGACAUACCAGGACAGAUAAAAAUGAAUAACAACAAAAAUAAAAAUAGGCGCCAAAGCAUUUUGCAGUGCAAGUGUCAGCCCACAAACAAUGCAAAGAAGAUCAUGUAUAUCUCCAUAAUUUUUUUGAACAGGUAAGUAAUACAUGUAAAGCUCCAUAAAUUAACGAAAUGCUAACAUAGAUUGCUUAUAUCUCUAUAGAUACUUGAAAUGCUAACACAGAUUGUUUCAUCAAACUACACUAAUUGCUUUUCACUUUGUUGUAAAAUUUCAGAUCUCAAGCUCGGAUAAACAGAGGGAAAGAAACUACCCAGACGAUCCUGAAAAACAAAAAUACUUUUUUAUUCAACUAGCAUAAUGUGCCGCCUCCUACUAAAUGGAGCUUUGAGGCAGUGAGUCUUGAACAGCUGGUAUUUGCCUUAAAGAGUCAAGUCAAAAAUCAUUAAUCACUCUUUGUUGAAGUAAAUGUAAAGUGACGUGAACAUGAAUAUCAGUAAACUGCAACAGGUGUUAAUUUUCAUGUAUUGGAUUUCAACAAGUACUUCAUCAAGUUACUUUCUCCUUGCUAUUGACUACAUAUCUAAAAGUACUCCUUCUCAUUUUCUAGUUAUGUUGGACAGCAGAAGCAUGAUACAAGAACUUUCUGAAUUAUCAAACAUGAGCGCUCCACGAUGAACUCAUGUACAAAACAGAAUCACCAGACUCGCAUGUUCUCUUUGUUUGACCCCUCUGCUUAUGGUACUUGAUGACUUCUGGCGAGAAAAUUAUUGGUGCCACACAUCUAUCAAAUACCAAUAAUGCUGUAUUUAUUCUCACUGGAAAAAAAAAACUACAAAAGAAAGAAAUGAAUUCACGUGUUUCUCCUCCUACAAAAAC
rnacentral:lncRNA from 1 species